GAUGAAGAACGUAGCGAAAUGCGAUACUUGGUGUGAAUUGCAGAAUCCCGUGAACCAUCGAGUCUUUGAACGCAAGUUGCGCCCGAAGCCAUCAGGUUGAGGGCACGUCUGCCUGGGCGUCACAUAUCGUUGCCCAAUGCCUAUUGCAGUGCAAUAGGAAUUUCUAGGGCGAAUGAUGGCUUCCCGUGAGCGUUGUUGCCUCGCGGUUGGUUGAAAAUCGAGUCCUUGGUAGGGUGUGCCAUGGUAGAUGGUGGUCGAGUUAGAACGAUACCGAUCAUGUGCAUGCUCCCCAAAAUAUUGCCUCUAUGACCCACACGCGUCUUUUGACGCUCAUGACGAGACCUCAGGUCAGGCGGGGCUACCCGCUGAAUUUAAGCAUAUCAAUAAGCGGAGGA
rnacentral:misc_RNA from 1 species